rnacentral:rRNA from 1 species
GACGAACGCUGGCGGCGUGCUUAACACAUGCAAGUCGAGCGGUAAGGCCCUUUCGGGGGUACACGAGCGGCGAACGGGUGUGUAACACGUGGGUGACCUGCCUCUAGCUCUGGGAUAAGCCCGGGAAACUGGGUCUAAUACUGGAUAUGACUCCAUGACGCAUGUUGUGGGGUGGAAAGCCUUGUGCGGCUAGAGAUGGGCCCGCGGCCUAUCAGCUUGUUGGUGGGGGAUGGCCUACCAAGGCGACGACGGGUAGCCGGCCUGAGAGGGCGACCGGCCACACUGGGACUGAGACACGGCCCAGACUCCUACGGGAGGCAGCAGUGGGGAAUCUUGCGCAAUGGGCGAAAGCCUGACGCAGCGACGCCGCGUGA